CACGUAGGGGGCAAGCGUUGUCCGGAUUUAUUGGGCGUAAAGAGCUCGUAGGUGGUUCGGUAAGUCGGGUGUUAAACCCCCAGGCUCAACCUGGGGACGCCACUCGAUACUGCCAUGACUAGAGGUCGGUAGGGGAGUGUGGAAUUCCUGGUGGAGCGGUGAAAUGCGCAGAUAUCAGGAGGAACACCCGUAGCGAAGGCGGCACUCUGGGCCGAUUCUGACACUGAGGAGCGAAAGCGUGGGGAGCGAACAGG
rnacentral:rRNA from 1 species